AAUAUAGAACAGAAAAAAAAAGAAAUUGCUGCUCUAUGUAUUAAAACGGUAGAGAUAAUUGAGAUGGUCUUGUAUAGAACAAAAGGUCAAACUCCUCAGAAUAUAUAAAGGAUAUACUUUGAAAUAUUCAUACACAAUUUUCAACAAUGAGAGUACCCUCCCAUUGUUUAGGAGAAUAACUAAAACAUCUAUAAUGUUUAAUUGCCUUAGAAUUGAUUUGAAACUGGUAGUGAAAUACUGGUGAUUAUAAUAAAGCGAUGUUAAACUAAUAUGAUGGCAUGUUUAUUGGGUAACAAUAUUUUUGGGACAUGGUAAUUCUAUCUGAUCUAUACAAUUCAGUGUUUGUUCUAUUAAAUAUAGAGUGGUUUUCCUAAGUGGUGUCUCUUAAAUUUUUAGUGUCCUCAACAGUAUAUAUGUGUUCACAGAGAAUGCCUGCUGGAGUUGAGUGAUGGGAUAACGCACAGAGUGGAUGGAAAGAGAAACAGUCUCUCUACAAAUCCCCAAGUGGCCUGAAACUAGGCCCUUCUACCUGUUCUGAGACUACAGGAGCUCAUGGAGACAUAUGGAGGACCUUGGAUAUCUGGAGCUACAAAUAUCCACCUCACUUGCAUGCUGGUCACUGAACUUGGAUCCUAAGAUAGAAGAGCAAAUGCUUUUAACCAUUGAGACAUCUCUACAGUCCUAAUUAGUUUACUUCUGAGACCUUACUCCAUGCCAAGGGAUGCAUCAAACAAUGAGAAUACUUCUAAAAGAAACCACAUCUAAACCUUACCUGUUUUUAUUCUAUUAUGUCUGUAAACAACUACCAGAAAUCAAGUAAACAUACUGAUUAUUGGUCACAUAUUGAAAUGUGUAAACAAAAUGACUUUAAAUUUGUUGAGUCAUGGAUUGUUGAAUCACAAGUGUUAGUUUUACCGUUGCAGAAACACUCCUUUAUAUGGUGACAUUUAAGAAGGCACUUGGAUGAAGUGACUGGCAGAUAGAAUAAUGGAUUAAAAUGGACUGUGUGGAGAGUAUAUUUGGCAAGAUCAAGGGACUGCAAAAAUGGUGGACAAUGUUCUUGAUAUAUUUCAAAGAUAGAGAUACCACUAUUUGCUGAUGGGUUGGAUGUAUAAGAAGAAGACAUGGGUGAAAGAUAAUUAAAUUUUUCUUUUACUUUUCUGAACAACAGGUAGAAUGGGAGUGAAAAAUUGAUUAUUAAUGUGACUUAAGGAAGUAGUUUUUAGAGAAACUAGAAGUUAAGAGAACAAAUAAAUUAACAAAGGAGACUGAAAGGCAGUAGUCACAGAGGAAAUUAUACUACCAGGAGAGUGGUGUCCUGAAAGUCAAUUUCAUAAAUUAUUUCAUAGAAUCAACAAAUAAGUUGACUUAAAAGAACUAAAGAAUAAUCUGUGUAAUUUUUUGUAAAAACAAAGGGGGCAUGGACAGACCUUCCAUAGCAUGAGGUGUCUGAAAUUAAGGAAGUUAUUCAUUGUGUACCCUUCAUUUUUGAAAAGGACAUCUAUUCUGAAAUGUUUUGUGCUGAUAGAAGCAGUAUCGCACAUAAGCAGAUAGCACUUGACUAUUGAUUUAAGGUCAUUAGGAACUCCCAAGAGAAAAGAAAUGGACCGAUCAGAGGUGAAAGCUUGGAGCCUCCUUCAGAAAUGAGUCCACAAUGGAUGAAAAUUACAUAGCAAACUAUCAUGAAAGCCAGUGGAGAUUUCCAAGGGUACAGUGCACCGACUCUGAAUAAAUGAGGAAGGCAAGAUAAAAAGCAAAGGCCUUUGGGUAGUAGAAAUGACUGCUGUCAUACAGAAUUAGCAUUGUGAAAAUGCCCAGUUUCAAAGAAAUGGAAAUAGCUAGAUUUGCUCUAAGGAGUCUGCUUCCUGACUUUGAACAAAUUGGUGAAAAGUUAUGCAAUUUGCACAGUAAAGAACCUUAGAAUUGUAACAGAUUCCAAUAACAUCUAAAUGUUUCAAAUCAAUCUAUAAAGCAUGUUACCAGUGCAGAAAAUAAUCUAUUUUUUAAACAAAACAGUUUAUCCAAAAAUUAAUGACUAGAGUUAACAUAUAUCUGUGAAUAGGGAAUUAGAAACUGAGUAUUUCAAAACUGCUACCACACAAAAUGGUCAAUCAUUGGGAAUCAAAGAACAAAUAUAGUUGCACAUAAGCAAUGAUUGUUGGGUUGAAUUUUUGUGGUAAAUUUAACCUGAUCAAUAAUAAGAUGUUAUAUGGUUGUUACUACAUGAUACGUCAGGUGAACAGAGCUGAACAUGUCUGUACUUGACUCUUGUAACUUGUAAGUCAUGUGACAAAACAAAUGAAGCUUUAUUAAAUUACGUUUUCUGA